rnacentral:rRNA from 1 species
CAAUAGCGUAUAUUAAAGUUGUUGCAGUUAAAAAGCUCGUAGUUGGAUUUCUGAUCGAGACAUCAGGUCGGGUCCGAGAGGAUCAUGUACUUUGAUUUGUUUUGAUCAUCCUUGGGGAGAGCAUUUCUGGCAUUCAGUUGUCGGGAUUGGGAUCCUCAUCGUUUACUGUGAAAAAAUUAGAGUGUUCAAAGCAGGCCUCGGCCUCUGAAUACAUUAGCAUGGAAUAACAAGAUAGGACUUUGGUGGUCUAUUUUGUUGGUUUGCACGCCAAAGUAAUGAUUAAUAGGGAUAGUUGGGGGUAUUCGUAUUCAAUUGUCAGAGGUGAAAUUCUUGGAUUUAUGGAAGACGAACUACUGCGAAAGCAUUUACCAAGGAUGUUUUCAUUAA